ACAACCUACCUUCAACAAUCCGCAAAAACAGAGAGAGAAUCCGUGUCGUGUUUUCUUCUUCUUCUUAUUCUGAUUUUUACCGGUAAAUAUGAUAACGAAGAGUUAUGAUCUUGUUUAGUGUUGUUACCUAAUGGAAACUGAUACGAGCAAACGCUGCGAUAACCUUGUUCACUCUCGAUUCUUUCUCUCUGGGUUUAUUGCUGGGGUUGGGAAUUCUUGACCGCUCUUCUUCUCUUUAGUUGUUCUGCUUCUGCCUAAACCAUCCGCUUAUAUUUUGUAGUAAUUUUCCUCUUGUAAUCAUAGUUCUUUGUCAGAAUAUUGUUUUUCGGGUUUGCGUUAUAUUUUGAGAGGGGGUUUGGUAAAUCGGGAAAGAUGGCGCAAAGGUCAGUUCCGGCACCGUUCUUGAUGAAAGCGUACCAGCUGGUGGAUGAUCCGAUCACCGACGAUGUGAUUUCGUGGAAUGAAAACGGCACGUCUUUUGUCGUUUGGAAAACUUCUGAUUUUGCGAAGGAUUUGCUUCCCAAUUAUUUCAAGCACAACUUUUCCAGCUUCGUCCGUCAGCUCAACACUUACGUAAGUUGUUCAUGUUCUGAAUUAUUCUAAACCUAGAUCAGAUACGUUAUAAUUUCAUUCAUUUAUCCAUCAAUUAAUUAC